AGGUUUGCGCAGUGGUAGUAUCGUAGCCGAUGAAGUUUAUCUGAGACACAAUUAUUGUUAAUUGAAAACUUUUCCCAGAAGUAACAUUCUUGAUUGAGCCUAAUUACUGCACAGUGAAUUUUCUC
ensembl:snRNA U4 U4 spliceosomal RNA